UCGGGAAUUUUGCUCAAUGGACGAAAGUCUGAAGCAGCAACGCCGCGUGAGGGAUGAAGGCCUUCGGGUUGUAAACCUCUUUUAUCAGGGACGAUUAUGACGGUACCUGAUGAAUAAGCCACGGCUAACUACGUGCCAGCAGCCGCGGUAAUACGUAGGUGGCAAGCGUUGUCCGGAUUUACUGGGCGUAAAGAGCGCGCAGGCGGUCGUUUAAGUCGAAUGUGAAAGCCCCCGGCUCAACUGGGGAGGGUCAUUCGAUACUGAUCGACUUGAAGGCAGGAGAGGGUAGUGGAAUUCCCGGUGUAGUGGUGAAAUGCGUAGAUAUCGGGAGGAACACCAGUGGCGAAGGCGACUACCUGGCCUGUUCUUGACGCUGAGGCGCGAAAGCUGGGGGAGCAAACGG
rnacentral:rRNA from 1 species